rnacentral:rRNA from 1 species
GACGAACGCUGGCGGCGUGCUUAACACAUGCAAGUCGAGCGGUAAGGCCCUUUCGGGGGUACACGAGCGGCGAACGGGUGAGUAACGCGUGGGUGACCUGCCCUCAGCUCUGGGAUAAGCCUGGGAAACCGGGUCUAAUACUGGAUAUGACUCCAUGACGCAUGUUGUGGGGUGGAAAGCCUUGUGCGGCUGAGGAUGGGCCCGCGGCCUAUCAGCUUGUUGGUGGGGUGANGGCCUACCAAGGCGACGACGGGUAGCCGGCCUGAGAGGGCGACCGGCCACACUGGGACUGAGACACGGCCCAGACUCCUACGGGAGGCAGCAGUGGGGGAAUCUUGCGCAAUGGGCGAAAGCCUGACGCAGCGACGCCGCGUGAGGGAUGACGGCCU